rnacentral:rRNA from 1 species
UACAGAGGGUGCAAGCGUUAAUCGGAAUUACUGGGCGUAAAGCGUGCGUAGACGGUUAUGUAAGUCGGGUGUGAAAGCCCCGGGCUCAACCUGGGAAUGCCAUUCGAGACUGCAUAGCUAGGGUGCGGAAGAGGGAAGCGGAAUUUCCGGUGUAGCGGUGAAAUGCGUAGAUAUGCGGAGGAACACCGAUGGCGAAGGCAAUCCCCUGGGCCUGCACUGACGCUCAUGCACGAAAGCGUGGGGAGCAAACAGG